AAUAAAUCUAUGCGGGUUGAAACAUUUAUAUCAAAGUAGCUCAUAUAGAAAAAAAAGCACCUGAAGGAACACUAUAGGAUCAGGAAAUACAAACGUGUUUUCCUGACCCUAUAGUGUUAAAAAGGUUGCCAGCGCCACUUCCCCCCUUAUGUACUAUAAAAACACAGCUUUAUUCCAGGGCCACGUGGGUCUGCCUUCUCUGUCCCUGUCCCUGAUUUGCC